rnacentral:tRNA from 1 species
AAUAAAGUGGCUGAGGAAAGGCGGUGAAUUGUAAAUUCAUAAACAAGUAGAACUUCUUUAUUA